UACGAAGGGGGCUAGCGUUGCUCGGAAUCACUGGGCGUAAAGGGUGCGUAGGCGGGUUUUUAAGUCAGAGGUGAAAUCCUGGAGCUCAACUCCAGAACUGCCUUUGAUACUGAAAGUCUUGAGUAUGGGAGAGGUGAGUGGAACUGCGAGUGUAGAGGUGAAAUUCGUAGAUAUUCGGAAGAACACCAGUGGCGAAGGCGACUUACUGGUCCAUGACUGACGCUGAGGCUCGAAAGCGUGGGGAGCAAACAGG
rnacentral:rRNA from 1 species